CUGGGACCCAGGUUGGGUGCUUCGGCGCCCGCCCCCACCCUUUGCUUAGCCCCCGAAAUUUUACAAACCCGUCGGCCUUUGGCGCGCCCGCUUGACAGCGUGGUACGCCGGUCGGACAUCAAACCCUGAACAACAUUGCAGCCUGAAGUUAAAAGCAAAUAAUUA
rnacentral:misc_RNA from 1 species